GUGCCAGCAGCCGCGGUAAUACGGAGGGUGCAAGCGUUAAUCGGAAUUACUGGGCGUAAAGCGUGCGUAGGCGGCUUAUUAAGUCAGAUGUGAAAGCCCUGGGCUUAACCUGGGAACUGCAUUUGAAACUGGUAAGCUAGAGUUGAGUAGAGGAGAGUGGAAUUUCAGGUGUAGCGGUGAAAUGCGUAGAGAUCUGAAGGAACACCAGUGGCGAAGGCGGCUCUCUGGACUCAAACUGACGCUGAGGUACGAAAGCGUGGGUAGCAAACAGGAUUAGAUACCCCUGUAGUCC
rnacentral:rRNA from 1 species